GAACGCUGGCGAGAUGCUUUACACAUGCAAGUCGUACGAGAAUUUUUAAUUCAAGUGGCGGACGGGUGAGUAACACGUAAGAAUUUGCCUUUAGGAGGGGGAUAACAACUGGAAACGGUUGCUAAUACCCCAUAUGCUUUUUAGUGAAACGGAUUCCCGCCUAAAGAGAAGCUUGCGGCUGAUUAGCUUGUUGGUAAGGUAAUGGCUUACCAAGGCGACGAUCAGUAUCUGGUUUGAGAGGAUGAUCAGACACACUGGAACUGAGACACGGUCCAGACUCCUACGGGAGGCAGCAGUGGGGAAUUUUCCGCAAUGGGCGAAAGCCUGACGGAGCAAUCUCGCGUGAGGGAAGACUGCCUAUGGGUUGUAAACCUCUUUUUUCAGGGAGGAAUAAAUGACGUGUACCUGAAGAAUAAGCAUCGGCUAACUCCGUGCCAGCAGCCGCGGUAAG
rnacentral:rRNA from 1 species